GCGAGUGAAGCGGCAACAGCUCAAAUUUGAAAUCUGGCCCCCAGGGCCCGAGUUGUAAUUUGCAGAGGAUGCUUUUGGCGCGGUGCCUUCCGAGUUCCCUGGAACGGGACGCCAUAGAGGGUGAGAGCCCCGUCUGGUCGGACGCCUAGCCUGUGUAAAGCUCCUUCGACGAGUCGAGUAGUUUGGGAAUGCUGCUCUAAAUGGGAGGUAUAUGUCUUCUAAAGCUAAAUACCGGCCAGAGACCGAUAGCGCACAAGUAGAGUGAUCGAAAGAUGAAAAGCACUUUGAAAAGAGGGUUAAAUAGUACGUGAAAUUGUUGAAAGGGAAGCGCUUGUGACCAGACUUGGGCCCGGUGGAUCAUCCAGCGUUCUCGCUGGUGCACUCCGCCGGGUUCAGGCCAGCAUCAGUUCGCCGCGGGGGAAAAAGGCUUCGGGAACGUGGCUCCUACGGGAGUGUUAUAGCCCGUUGCAUAAUACCCUGGGGCGGACUGAGGUUCGCGCUCCGC
rnacentral:rRNA from 1 species